GAAGCUAAGACCAAUUGGGUUGGGCUGACUAGACACCGUGUUUAGUGAGUGGGCUUAAUCAUUGUGUCCCCAUUAUAAUUUCUAUUUAAAGAGAUCAUUGUACUUGUAAUUGGUGUGCAACAAGACAGAAAUAAAACCUAAUAGUUGCCUGUGUGGAUGUAGGUUGCAGUUGGCGACCGACCCACGUUAAAUCUUGUGUUGUUUAUUUUAUACAGUUGAUUCUUGAUUAUGUGUAUUGCUUUUGCAUGCGUUUUUUC
rnacentral:lncRNA from 1 species